UUUACUUUUUGCAGACCAUUUCAGUUUCCAUUUUUUUUUUCCUUUUUAACCCUUCUCACCUCUGAAAAAGAAAGUACACCCUUCUCUUUUUCCCCCUUUCCCAUGUGUGGCAUCCCCUCCCCCAACGCCUCUCUCUCUAUUGAUUUUUUUUUUACCCCUUCACCUCUGCUUGGUUCCUUCUUGGGCUUUAUCUGGAAAUCUCUCGUCAAUACUCAUGGAAGGCUCAAUGAAUGGACGCAUUGAUUUUGGGAAGAUGGGUUAUGGUGCAAGCAUUAAACAACGGCCACCACCACUUUCUCAAGCAUUACACACAGAAAUUGCGACAGCUAACCAGAGAUCUUUGAAGGUGUAAGAAAGUUUCCAUGGUGGUCUGGACUCUGGACUGUUUGUGUAUACGUAGGCCAACAAGAAAACAAGAGACCGAAAAGUGAGGUAUUGCCGGUAGGCCAGCAUUGUGAAGAGCGGAAGAAUAGAGGGAGAGACAGAGAGAAACAGAGGAAGAGCAAAACAGAGAAGAAAGACAGGUCAUGUGUGUUUUGUUGUAUAUUGACGACUAAAGGAGCUGAAUAUGGGGAAGCUCCUUGAAGCUCUCAAGGCCUCGAGCCCUAAGCCCUCUCUAGUGGGUUUGAUAACUCCCUCAAAGGAGCAGUUUUUAAGACACAUUCCUUCGCAUUCCUCGAGGGUCAUGCUCUUGUUAUACCAGGAAGAAGAUGUGUCCGGCAAUUUCACUCCCGUGCGCUUCAGGAAUCCAUCUCUGUCAUUGCAUUCCAAAGGAAUCCUUCGAACACACCCAUCAGACCAAUCUAUUGAGUCCCUAUCUUUUGGAGACUUGGGUAAGAAUCCUUCCAAGCAUGCACAUACAGGAGAGUUAUUGAUGUUGCAGAAAGCAUAUGGACCACAGAAGGCAAAAAUUUCACAUUGAUUUGACUGGGCUGUAACGAAAGGCUCCCAACUUUGUGUCCGAUCCAUCCAUGUGAAUCGCUGCACAACGCCUGAUGGGUUUACCACAUAUCUUGAGAAAACAGAAGUGUUUAGAAGUUUGUACUCGUAAUAAACCUCCUUCUCAGUCAACACGAAUUCAUAAUUAUAUACCGGAUUCUGUCUUAAUCCAGGAUAUCCCGUAAAGCGAAGGCCAUUCCAUGACCCUACUCUAGCCUUUAUUGAAUCUCUCUUCAUUAAAACCUGUUGCGGAAGCCCACGAAGAAUGAUUCGUAGUGAAAACUCGCCUUGAGCAGGAUCUUCCGUGCUCUUCCAAGAUGAUAAAAACCUAUCUAGACCAGUUACUAAGUUCCAUCCAAGCUUCAUUUCCGGUAGGAGUGUGUCACAUGGAUAAUCAAAACUCUGCCACAAAAACUUCUCUGGGUCACCAUCAAUUCUAUCUUUCACAACAAGAUUCCCGGUGUCCAAGAGCUGUGCAAUUGGAUUUUCUGCGGUUCUUGAUGUAUUAGAUGACCAAACAAUACUAUUGGUGCUAUUAAGAAGCACAAGAACUCCAUCAUCAGUGACCUUUAAAACUCCUGACUGAUCGUUAAGCGGAGCGUUUCUGUUGGCUACCCAUACAACUGUCUCCGAAGAUAUCAUGUACCAUAUUCCCACGUAUCGAGUUUUGGAAGUACCUGGGCUGAAGAAUCCCAAUUGAAAUGAUCCGUCAGCUGAAACUAAAGUGCCACCGUCUCUGAUGGAUUGAUUUGGAGUAAUAGUACUGUCUUGUGAAAUGGAGGUUCUUAAGAGAGAGAAGAAGAAAGAGCCGACAAAAAGAUGGGUAAAGGCUUCCAUGAUUUUCUAAUGGUUUAUAUUUUCUUCCUCAGAGAAAGUAAAUAUAUGUAUAUCCAUAUACAAGGUUUCCAUUGAUUGUCUUCGUGACUAUCUGCCUUCAAGCCAUUUUGCUUUUCAAGAAAUUUGAAUUUAAGUGUGAAUAAAGGCUUCCGUUGA